UACGGAGGGUGCGAGCGUUGUCCGGAAUCACUGGGCGUAAAGGGCGCGUAGGCGGCGCGGAUAGUCGGCGGUGAAAGCCCGGAGCUCAACUCCGGGUCGGCCGUCGAUACUUCCGGGCUUGAGCACUGUAGAGGCAGAUGGAAUUCCGGGUGUAGCGGUGGAAUGCGUAGAGAUCCGGAAGAACACCGGUGGCGAAGGCGGUCUGCUGGGCAGUUUUGCUGACACUGAGGCGCGACAGCGUGGGGAGCAAACAGG
rnacentral:rRNA from 1 species